AGCAGCCGCGGUAAUUCCAGCUCCAAUAGCGUAUAUUAAAGUUGUUGCAGUUAAAAAGCUCGUAGUUGAAUUUCGGGGUUAGUAGAUUGGUCAUGCCUCUGGUAUGUACUGGUCUCACUGAUUCCUCCUUCCUGAUGAUCCGUAAUGCCAUUAAUUUGGUGUUGCGGGGAAUUUGGACUGUUACUUUGAAAAAAUUAGAGUGUUUAAAGCAAGCUAACGCUUGAAUACAUUAGCAUGGAAUAAUGAAAUAGGACGUUCGAUCCUAUUUUGUUGGUUUCUAGGAUUGACGUAAUGAUUAAUAGGGAUAGUUGGGGGCAUUAGUAUUCAAUUGUCAUAGGUGAAAUUCUUGGAUUUAUUGAAGACUAACUACUGCGAAAGCAUUUGCCAAGGAUGUUUUCAUUAAUCAAGAACGAAAGUUAGGGGAUCGAAGACGAUCAGAUACCGUCGUAGUCUUAACCAUAAACUAUGCCGACUAGGGAUCGGAUGAUGUUAAUUUUUUAAUGACUCA
rnacentral:rRNA from 1 species